UGAUCUUCUGAUGACUGCUGGAUAACGUGGAGAAUAUUAUUAACCUGUGCUAUUGCCCUUUCAAACAUGGAUAAGUGGACCAUGUGUCUCUAUUUAAGUUGUUCAAAUUUUUUUAGCAUAUCUAGGAGCAUUUUUGGCUGAGCUUAACUAACUCAAUUUACUUGUAAGUAAAUAAUUAAGUUUUGACAUACGUGAUUAUUUAUUGAUCAAAAUUGAAAAUAAGUUAUUUUACUUCUCUAGUCAUGGUCUUAGAUUUGGAUUUUUUAAUUUUUUUUUUCCCUUUGUUAGUCAACUGUCAAGAGGCAAACUGCAUAAUAUAGCAUGAUAUUUGAAUAUCUCUUGAUUUUUUCGUAAGUUAAUGUCUCUCUACUACAAAUAUCGACCAAAGGAGAGAGCACCUUGGAGUAUAAUGUUAAAACUUCAGGAGGAAAUGACUGUUACUGAAGGUUAAUUUUUUGUCAUGCAGCUAAUGGAGAACGUGAUCCCUGUCAUGGAAAAGCGAAGACCUUCACGUUUCCUUCAGAGAGUUCGUUCUGUGCCGUGGUAAUCAGAUUCUAGUGCAGAACCAUGAAGAUAUUUAAAUGCCAUUUCUCCAACGUAGGAGCAAGAUGUUAACAUUUUGUCUGCAAAAAAUGAAGAUUGGAUGGCACUUGUCAAUGCUAAAAAUGAAGAAUUAUACCAUUCAGGUCUGCCCGAUUCAGCAUCCGGACAUGCACUCUGGGUUUAAUAACUUAUUAUGGUGAUUGUUAGUCUUGGAAAGCAGUUAUUCUUCUUGCUGUAAAGUGAAAUAGCAUAUAGUAGGAUAGAAUUGGAGUGUAUUGGUAAUGAAAUUUUUGUGUUCAGUGAAGACCAGUUUAAUUAGAAGUGUUGAGCUUUAUAUAUUUAGCUAGUAUCCCAUUCCCAGUUGCUAAUGUAAGGGGAGAGGGGGUUGUAAUGGCUUCUUGUAUCACUUCAGCUAAUGGCUUAUGAAUUAUGAUAGCUCCUCCUUGACAGUGUUAUGCGCGUGCACGUAUAUAUAAAUCUUUAAUACUAUCCAAUUUUGUCAAGUUCAGUAUGCUGAAAGCAGUUUUUCUUAAAACGAACCUUUAGGUUGUGUUAGAUACACCAAAUUAGACCAUAUAAGAAUUAAAAUAUUAAUCUUAUAAUGAAGAUUAUUGGCUUUGUAUGGUAGGACGAUUAUACAGUAUAAAGAAUAAAUAUAAGUCAAAAUUUUUAUAACAUUGUGAACCUAUCAAGCCCUUGGUGAAGUUUUAAAUGCAGUAUCACAUUCUUGCUCAUCGCCCCCAUCGUAUUAGCUUGUCAGUUUGCCAAUCAGACGUCAAUCAUUGAAAACUUGCUUAUUAACCUUUAAAAAAAAAAGGUUGAACCCCAAGGGUCCCCCACCGUCCUGCCCAUGGAGCAUUGUGAGAGAUUAAUCUCGGGUUGUGUCCCAAUAGGCUAGGGAACAAGAGCUGUCUGUACACUAGUGCCCACAAAGAGUCCCAAUCCAUGUUUCAGGAAUCGAAUUCUCACAUUGCGAUUGCCAGCAAGACUGAGUAUACCUCACCCUUGUCCUUUGCACUACUGAAAUAUGCCCUGGGGGAGCCCAUGUUAGUAAUAAUAAAUACAAGUGGAUAGUAUAAUAUUUUCUUUCUUUUCUGUCUUUCAUACCGUACCAUUUGUAUCACAUGCUUCUGUUUGGAUUCUUAAAUGACAAAAUUGAUUACUUUUCUUAUAGAAGUACAAGAAAAGCAGAGAUUUGCCUUGGAUAUAUGUAUAUGAAACAACAGUGAAUUUAAGUGUGGAGGUUAAAUUUUCAAAUCUCCCCUUGAUAAUCGAACUCUCCACUGCCCAUUGCAUUUUUCGAGCCCAUUGCACCUGGUCUAUCCAUGACUGUCCACUGCCCAUUGCAUUUUUGUAGUGUAGGGCCGGCGCAUGAUUUCCCAAGAUUCCUUAUAUUUUUUUCGUCCACGGUCUUUCGUCCCAUUCUCACCAUCUCUCAAAUCAUUUCCGUUCUCUCCUUGAUAUCACAAAUCGUCACACGUCCUCUCAAAUCAUUUGUUAUUCAUGCAGUCCCUGCUCCGACUUCCAAUCCAAGGAGUCUUGAAUGGAGGAUACUCUCAAUAGGCCGGCAUCAACAUUAUGCAAAAUUUCCAACCCUUAGAAUGAAGUUCCUGGUGACUAAUAAGUCAAAACAGACAAGUCGAGAAAGAAGCAUCGGUAACUGAACUGUUCAGGGAUUGAAAAACCCUUCUCGUAGCAAAAUUUAGAUACAAAAAGAUCGGAGAACCCGCCCCUUCUUAUUGGGGGACUCAUGAAAGCUGAAAUGUUUAGGUAACAAUACUGAUAACCAAAACUCAAAUAUUAUGCACUUCCUGCUUACCAAGAAAAGACAAGAUGUGUUGAGCACUGGCAUAACCCGGUAAUCAAAAAACUCGUAAAGUUAGCAACUACUUGCAGAAUCUUUAAGGACAAAAUUGCAUAUAUUGAAAUAAGAACAUGAGUCAAUAGUAUGAAAACAUUAUUAUUUCAAUGUAUAUCGACUGUCUCAUAUCUUUGUCUGAAUGUAAUAUGUACAACAUGUGCAAUUCAGAAAUUCAUAAAAGCGCAAAGAAUUCUGUUUUUUCGAGCCCUGCUUUGGUCUCUAGUUUUAUGGUUGUAUGUGCCAAGGAAAAAAGAAAAGCAUUGAAGUAAUAUUUACCAUCUUGCAAAACUAAAAUUCUCACAUUAGACAAAUACAAAUUUACUCUGAAUUUUGAUUAUCUAAGGGCAAUAAAGGAUGAACAAUAAUAUAUUGGACCGGAGAACAUCCAAUUCUUUUCCACAUCUUUUACAUAACAUACUAUGAGAAAAUGAAAGACAUUAUCUCUUUGAACCCUUUUAUUCUGGGCUAAUUGCCUACCAUCAUUUGUUUCUUCCCUUAAUCAAAGAAAAACAAAACUCAUAGAACAUUAGGAAGUUCCAGUUAAGCUCACACGAAUCUCCUCUGUUCAAAUGGUAUUAAUCGUGACUAUUUGCUCGUCCAAUAGAGUUGAGACCCUCAGUCCUGCUGCGCACUAUUCUGUGGAACACUUCUCUAACCUGGCGCUCCAAUGGAUCCAAUCCAUCCUUUAUGGAUUCAUACACCAUACCUAACUCCUUUACUCUCUGUCUUGCUUCACCCUCUUUUUCUUCUGUCAAGGGGAACUGGACAGAAUCGAUCAACUCGUUCAUGUGCCGUGCACAUAUCUCAAUCUCGUGAAUCUCCUUCAACAACCCACAAGCAUUUUUCCUGUCUCGUUUCUUCGACACUUCCAAAAUCUUCUCAUGGAGGGAGAGCAUCGGAACUGCCCACAGGAACUGCUUAGUAAUGGAAAAGUUAGUCUGAAGGCCACGGUCUUGACAUGGGAUUGCAGCAACAAGAGCCCACAUUACAAACAAAAGCACAUAACUCAUAGUAAAAACCGUUUUUCGUGUAAUAUUAUUUUAUGGAAGAUUUUGUGGUUAAAAAUAAGAGAAAGAAAAAUAAAAUAUAAUAAAAUAAAAAUUAAUGGGACCAAACGGGAGCCAAAAUUUAUUAGCACUUAAACCACUAGAGAUGCAGGAUUCAAUGAUGACAAAAAAUCCUCAAUACAGUUAGAGCCUGUUUAGGCCCCAUUUUUUCACCAAAAAAAAUAAUUUUUUGAUCGUUAUUUUAUUAUUCCAGCCGUCAUAUUUGACUUUUUCUCUUACGGGUGGACCCCACUUUUCUCCUAACGGUCAAAAAUUCAAUUCUCAAAAUCACUCCAAAACAGACUCUUACUGGAUGUCAAUAGAUCAACUAUUAAUGGGGUGACUUUAUACUCUUCAAUGAUUCCUAAUAUGGUCAUGAGAUUUAUGGGCUCCAGUGACUUCAACAAUCUAUGGACUACGGUGAUUGAGUGAUGGUAUUUAAAAUAAAUCUGGUAUAUCCUUUUUUAGUGGACUUCCCCUUAUAUUUAAUGUCACACAUGUCCUUGUUUGGUUUGGCUAAAAAAAUCAAAUUUUUAUAAGAUUUUGAUAAAAGUUGAUAAAAUUUAUGAUUGAAAUGUAGAUAAAAAUUAUGAAUAUCAUAAAAUGAGUGGUUGAAAAUGAAUUUGACGAAUCAUAUUUUUUAAAGUUUUGAGAUCAAACAAGGGUAACAAGAUUAGACUGUUUGGUUGAAUUUAAAAGUUAUAAUUCAAAAAAAUUCCUAGUAAUAAAUAUGACUUGUAACUCGAAAAUAAGGUUUUUUUUUUUUUUUUUUUUAAGUAAAAAAUAAUUUACUUAUUUUAAAUAGAAUUAAACACAUAAUUUUGCAAAGCUUUCACUUGUGUUUUCGUCCUUCCAAAAGCUCUUAUAGAACAAGUAGAUUUGUUGAAAAAAGGAAAUUACAAGUAACUUGACUUAUUUUUAAGCAUAAUAAAGUCUAUCUAGUGGCUCAAGUAUCACUCUAUAUGACAUAUCGGCCACGUUUAAUGUUAUUGGGCUAAGAUAUUGUGAGUGCUUAAAUUAGAAUUUAAAUGGCGAGUUUCAUCGAACUUUAUUGAUUAAAAUGGUUGUAGGUUCAUUAAAUUUGUGGAUAUCUGGUGGAAAUAUUUCGAGAAUGGGGCUUGUUUGAGCCAUAUUAUUUUCAAAAAAAUACAUUUUUGAACAGUGAUUUGACACAUUUUAAUCACAUAUUCUUCAAUAAAAUAAUAUUAUACGUAAAUUUAAAUUUUUUUUUUAUUUUUUAAAUACUCAUUUCUCAUUGAUUUGACAUGAAAAAUGCAUUUCUUAGAAUGUGGUUCAAACGUGAACUAAAUUUUGUGAAAUUGAUUUUUGGAAAUGUAUCGUUGAAAAGUAUGGAAAAAUUAUUGGUAAAUGUGCAUAAUUAUUUUAUUCCUCUUUUAAGUAAAGCCACAAUCUACGUGCACACAAACGUAUGAACUGUGCCCCCGAGCAUAACCGAGUGGUACAGAGAACAGAAGUGAUGUUAUCUCAUAUCUUGUUGACAGUCGCAGUGUCGGGGUUCGAUUUUUGAGACAUGAAAUUUGAUUCCUUGUAGGCGCAGUGUACAGACAGCUCUUGUUUUCUGACCUAUUGAAAUACAUUUCGAGAUUUACCUGCCUCACAAAACUCCAAAGACGAGAUGGUAGGAGCCUUCAAGUUUGGGGUUCAAUCUUUUUUUUUUUUUUUUUUUUAAACGUAUGAACUGUCUCCCAAAAGAGAACGAAAUCUCUCCCACUACUCUCACUCUCCUCAUCACAAAAUCGCCAGAAAUACAAAUCCCUAGGCCUAUUCCUAUUGAGUGUCAACACAUGCACACUGUCGCGCACAGUUAUCACUACCGCACUCUUUGUCAUACUCGCACGCACAUACCCAGAAAAAAAAUAAUGGAAAGGGGCAACCUGAUGGUGAUUCUGAUUAAAUCCCACUAAUAGUCAUAUUUUUUGGGAUUUUUUUGUUAAUUAAUGGCGUCGUCGAAGCUGGUGCCGUCGCGGAAUUUAGAUCUCAAGAGAAAACUUUCUGGUUGUGCUUCGGGUUCUUCUACGAGGUUGAUUGAUUUCUUGAGAAAUUCUUAUGUGGAUACUGAUACGGGCUCGGACUCUGACCCGGUUACGGAGGGGGAAGGUUCUAGUACUUUGUUGAAUGCGGAGAUUACGUUGCUUGAUGCUGCCGGAGCUGUGACUCCGAUAAGUGAUUGCGAAGUGGGGAACGUGGAGCCCCCUCGUGCUAUUAGGAAGACGGUUGAUGAUGUCUGGAGGGAGAUUGUGGCUGGAAAGAAGAGGCAGACCGAGCAGGUGCCCAAGCAGGAGAUGAUGACUCUGGAGGAUUUUUUGGUGAAGGCAGGGGCCGUGGAGGGUGAGGCCAGUGGUGCCGGGGCAGGAGUGACUGUGGAGGUGAAGGAGGAGAUGAUGAGUGGUGGGAUUUAUGGGCAUGAAAAUUCUCCUGUGGUGGGAAUGGCGACUGGGUUAGAGAUAGGAGUGGAUGUUGGGGAUUUUGGGAACGGGAGAGGGAGAGGAAAGAGGACCAUGAGCUUGAUGGAACCUUUGGAUAAGGUGGCACAACAAAAGCCAAGGAGCUUGAGCUUGUUAGAACCGUUGGAUAAGGCGACACAACAAAGGCAGAGGAGGAUGAUUAAGAAUAGGGAGUCAGCUGCAAGGUCAAGAGAGAGAAAGCAGGUAAAAGAAAUUCCAUUCUCUUUUAGUAUUGGUUAGCGGCAUUUUGGAAUUUUUCUUGUUUCUGAUUAAUUUUGUGCCUGAUUUAGGCCUAUCAAGUGGAAUUGGAGUCAAUGGCAGUGAGACUUCAGGAAGAGAAUGAGCAGCUUUUGAAAGAGAAGGUAAUUAAAAUUGCCUCUAGUUUGUACUUUGAAAAAUGAAGAUCUUGACAACUCCAUGAAUAUAAGUUUACAGGACUUUUUUUGAAUUGCUGAGUUCUGACUGCUAAUUUUUGGAGUUCAAAUGUAGAAGUUGAUUUAACUAAACUUAAACAUGUGACCCACAAUUUUUGUAACUUGGAGAAUAAACUGUAUCACAAUGACUUCUUUUGUCUAAAAAUUCAUUGUUUCAUAUCUUCUGAGUUUUAACAGUUUUCUGGGUGCCUUUGAUUGGUUGGUAUCUUUAUUUAUCCACCUUGAUUUGCUGUUGGUUUUCUGCUUCCUUUAAAAACUUGCGACAGCCCAAGUUUCUCUGUUUUCACAUGGCAUGAUCCCCUACAACCCCAUCAAAGUAUUACCUUUGUUAUUGUCUAUGAGGAUAGCAGGCUCUUUGUGAAUCGAGGCUCCUGGUGUACAUAUACAUAAUAUGUAUAUCUUCACCAUUGGUUGUUUCACAGAACUUUACGUGUUGAUUUUGGAACUCCUCAACAUCAUCUUUUCAAAGCAUUUAAUGUGCUUUUAUCAUUUUGGUGUCAUGCCAUGUAACUAUAAGCAGAUUUUGUAUACAUAUGCUUGCAUGUCCCUUGGUAUUGGUACCAAAAGUGGAAAUAAUUGGAAGCAAGAAUAAUGAGAGUUGGAUUUCAGUCUCUUACGUUCUCGUAAUCUUUGCCUUGUAUUUGAAGUUCUAAAUCAUGUCAUAAUUUUUAAAUCACUUCGCUUCAUUUUGUAUAGAUGAAGUCAAUACUUAAUAACUUUUCACUUUGUUAUCUGGAACUUUACUUCAUCUUUCCUUGUGUGCUCAGCGGUACACAUAUACUGCAAGUACACAGUAAUCACUUCUCAUUUAUCUAAUACUAUUAUGAGAUAAUUAUUCUAUUUCUUGAUUUUAGUUUCUUCAUGAUGGCUAAACAAAUAAAUACCAUCAUUCAACUGAUUUCUUAUAAAAUUUAAACUUAUAUAUCAUGUCUAUCAAUUAACGUGUUUGUUAAUUUGCUUUUAUGAUGGUAUUCAAAGGAAAACCUUAUGGUCUGCAAAUGAAGUUUGUACUUUAAAUUGAAUCAUUGAUAAUACUAUCAGAUGCUCUUGUGCAUCUAAUUUUUUAUAUUUCUUCUAUUAAGUGGAACAAAGAUUUUUUACAUCAUUUUGGUUUCUUAAACAAAACAAAUAAAUAAAUAAAAAUCAGUAAUUAUCUUCCGCGAUCUGAGAUAAAUUAAUGCUCAACUUUCUUCUAUCAUCUUUUGUGGCUGGGAAGGUAAGAUUGCCUAUUUAACUGAUAAUAGACAUAAGUAUAGGAUAAAUGAAGUUAUUGACCUUAAAGUACUACUUAAUUACUUUUUUUUUGUUGAAUAUAACUUGCAUGGUUUCUGUUGCUGGAACGCUCUGAUUUGAGCCGAAUAAUAUAAACUUUUAGGUUCUUUUGCUGUUUAGCUUCACUCGAGAUGUAAUAUCAUGUGGUCAGGCAGCAAAUUUUUAUGGCCUGGGCCAUAGCAUGCUGUAUAACAAUUUAAGAAUCAUUCUUUUUAAAUCUAAACUAUUGUGUCCCCUCCAUCCUCCCACGAAAGUGACCAUAUAUGAUCCUGACCGUUAGUGUAAAAGCUUUUCUGUAUUUGGUGGCUAAAGCUAGUAAAUUAGUAGUAUAUUCUAUGCUAAAAGAUUUUCUUAAGCUUUUGUUGAUUUUCAAACCUUUGUUAUGUAAAUGUAAUACAACGUUACAUCCUUAGAUUUCUGGUAUUGAUGUCUUCCAUUUUAAAUUAUUGGGUAUUUAAGUAUCUAUUACAUAUCUAGAGUCUUCAUGCUUGAGUGUAUUUGUGUGAUUCAAUUCUCCGAACUUAUGAGUGGAUUUUCAUAUAUUUCCAAUUCCAGGCGGAGUGGACAAAAGAGAGGCUUAAACAGGUAUCUAUUUUCCACUAUGCAUCAUAUGGUCUUGUAGUCAAUCUCAUCACAUAUGGGGGCAUUAUUUAGUUUUGAAUGUGAAAAAUAAUGAAGUUGAUAUGAUACUUGGACUGAGCACUUUCACAUGCCCACUUAUCAAGAGGCUGCAUGAAAUUUUUUUAAUCAACAGUUCAUUUACUCUAUUUGGAUGGCUUUCAGUUAGUUUUAACGAAAAAUGGAUGUGCACAAAUUUGUGAUUAUUCAGUUAAUACGAGAAGCUUCAACUUUAAUGAGCGAGACAUGUAAUUAAUUCUAGGAAAUAAUCCUGCACUAUUAUUAAGUUAUACUAUGCACUGCUAGAAAUGUUUGUUGAAAAUUACCUAGUGAAUUCAAUUUGAAACUGAAUUGUUUGCAUAAAUAUGUGGAUUGCAUGAGUGCUAGACGUUGCUUGACUUAAUCUUGACAGGCAACAGGAAUUCAUUCUGUGAGUAGCGUGUAGGAGCUGUGGUGUUGUUUUUUAUCAGUUUAGAAUCUAAUUGGUGUUAUUUCAACUUCCACAAUGAGUUUUGAAGGAAAUAUAGAGAAAUAAUUGACAUAUUACUCAGCACUGGAAGUAAGGAUUUGCUCUUUUAAGGUUGUGUUCCAUCUGUUUUUCUUCUUUUUGGGUGGGGUGGGGGAUGCAUUGAAUAUAAUUAAGUUGCAACUGGGAGGUGUUUACCUUUUGCAGAUAGCGUUGUCUUUUCAAUUCAAAUCGUUAGCAGAAUGCCAGGUUAUUUACAGAAUUAAGCUUAAAGUUUUCAUUUCAUUUUCCACUGGGGACAGAUGUAGUAUGUGAAUAAUUCUCUAUCUGAUCCAUAUAUGUCUUUAUCAUUGAUGAUCUUGUAGAUCUAUCUCCAGUAAAUUAAUAUUCAUGGGACAUGAUUCAAUAUUUUCAUACAUAUCAAGUCUCUUAUUCGAAGUAUUGUUUCCCCUCAUCAUGUGGCAAACAUGAUACUAUAAGUCUCCAGAAAUUUUUAAGAUUCUUUGUUUUAUGUUGAAGAAGAGGUUGAUAGUCUAUUUUUAAAACAAAAUUCAGGGAUAUGCAUUCAAGUAUCAUAAUGAGGUGCAUAAGGCUUUCGAUGCGUGAUAGCUGUUGUUCAAUUUUAUAUGCAAAGGAAGCAAGAAAAGCGUGGAUUUAAGGAAUGAGGAGAGAGUGUGAAGAAAUGAGAAUUUAGAGGAACUGUUGUGGUGAUGUCAAAGUUAGUUCGUGUGGAAAAUAAAUGUAAUCCAGAUAUCAGGAAGUUGAAUACCGUUGGCAUGUUGGUGAAACAUUGUAAAGCAGAGGAUAUGGGAAACGUGCUGAGGUAAUUGGGAGGAUAGAAGUCUGCAGAAGGUGGGUCUAGAAGGAAUGAAAUACCAGGGUGGAAAGUUGAUGAAAAUUAGGGGCGAAAUUAACUGGGGCGGAAGUUGGGUAAUAAACAACACAGUAUAUGUAUGCACAUAAGCUUCAUAUGAUCUUCUGAUGACUGCUGGAAAACGUGGAGAAUAUUAUUAACCUGUGCUAUUGCCCUUUCAAACAUGGAUAAGUGGACCAUGUGUGUCUAUUUAAGUUGUGCAAAAUUUUUUAGCAUAUCUAGGAGCAUGUUUGGCUGAGCUUAACUAACUCAAUUUACUUGUAAGUAAAUAAUUAAGUUUUGACAUACGUGAUUAUUUAUUGAUCAAAAUUGAAAAUAAGUUAUUUUACUUCUCUAGUCAUGGUCCUAGAUUUGGAUUUUUUAAUUUUUUUUUCCCCUUUGUUAGUCAACUGUCAAAGAGGCAAACAGCAUAAUAUAGCAUGAUAUUUGAAUAUCUCUUGAUUUUUUCGUAAGUUAAUGUCUCUCUACUGCAAAUAUCGACCAAAGGGGAGAGCACCUUGGAGUAUAAUGUUAAAACUUCAGGAGGAAAUGACUGUUACUGAAGGUUAAUUAUUUGUCAUGCAGCUAAUGGAGAACG
rnacentral:lncRNA from 1 species